GUGUCAGCCGCCGCGGUAAUACAGAGGUGGCAAGCGUUGUUCGGAAUUACUGGGCGUAAAGGGCGCGUAGGCGGCCUUAUAAGUCUCGUGUGAAAGCCCUCGGCUUAACUGAGGAUCUGCACGGGAUACUGUAGGGCUCGAGUUCGGGAGAGGAAAGCGGAAUUCCGGGUGUAGCGGUGAAAUGCGUAGAUAUCCGGAGGAACACCAGUGGCGAAGGCGGCUUUCUGGACCGACACUGACGCUGAGGCGCGAAAGCUAGGGGAGCAAACGGGAUUAGAAACCCGAGUAGUCC
rnacentral:rRNA from 1 species